GUAAAAGAAAAUGAAAACUUGAAAGCCCAGCUGAAUGCCAUUGAAGAAAAGAAUGAGAGGUGGAGUCUGGAGAGGAGUAUGGCUGAGGAGCAGCUGAACAAACUGAGGAAGGCCAACGCACACAUUAAGGGCGAACUGGAGGAAUCUCGCAUCAUGAUGGCUAUAAAAGACAGGGAGGCCACCAAAAGAAACCUUCUGCUGGAACAUCUGAAGACAUUCCAGCUGCAAAGCCACAAACAUAUAGAG